UCCUUUCAGUUACCAAGGCUCUUUUAAAA
rnacentral:piRNA from 1 species